rnacentral:lncRNA from 1 species
GUCCAAGGAGCCCCUUUGUUUUGUUGUUUGCAUGAGGACAACAUGGUACUGAAAGGUGAAUUAAAGAGAGGGACCUGAGAGGGACUUGAUUCCUGCCUCAGUGUCUCCCUGUGUCACCUGAGAAAAGUUACAGGCACUCUGCAUUGAGUCUUGAACAGAGUCCAGGAUCAGGAGGGAUUCAAGUCAAAAUAACGUUCUGUUAUAGCAUGUGUAGUAGUUUAUUCCUUUUUAUUGGUAAUAUUUCAUUUCAUACCCUACCACAGUCACUUACCCACUAACGAUCACUUGGGCUAUUUUUACUUCUAGCUUUUACAAACAGUGAUGUUAACAAGGGCAUACAGUGCUUAUAUAGCUUUAUAAUUCAGUUCAGAUUAGAAAUAGAUUGGCGUGUAAGAAUAGACAUCACAUGGUAACUCUUACGCUUAGCCUUCGUGAGGAGCCCAGAGAUGAAUGGAAGUGGGGCCUUCCCUCACCAUGUAAAGCAGUGACAGCUUCAUAGAGGAGUAGAUAUACUGUCUGGUUCAGUCCCAGACCACAGUAGCCUAAUCUGCAGAGUAUUUCUAAAGGUACUUGGAGAAUUGUCUCUAGUACUACACAACUCACUUUUUAGAAUAUUUAGAAUAUUUCACUCUUUGUUUUACUUUACUGAAAUAUACAGAACAUUUUGGCUCAUAUCUGUGUAUUUUUCUGUCAAAUAAUGGUUCAGAAAUAUAAUGCAUGUCUUGCUAAGACAGAUUUGGUAUGUGCAUAGAAAGUACACCAUUUUGAUUGUGAUGAUCACAAUUGAAAUCCAGGCCUUGGGCAUUCAAGGUAAGAGCUGUAUCCCUCCCAGGAUCUCAUUAUAAUCCCUGUCAGAGCAUUGCUACACAGGGUCCUGACCCUUCCAAGUACAACUUAAUGGUCUUACAAGACUCGGGCAUAUCAGUUGGGGCAAAAGUAUGAAAUUCAGAAAAUAAUAAAAAAUGAGAAAUUACAUAUUUGAAAGAAUAAGUUAAUGUAUAUUAAUUAAAAUUUAUAAUUAAAAUGAAAAUUAUCAGUGUCCAAAAGGAAAUAACUUGGGAAUUUAAGGACAUUACUGGGGGGAAAAAAAAGAAAAACUGAAGUCUGAACAAAAUUCAUUUUUGAACAAUGAAGUCAUAAAAUUAAGAAUGAGCAUCUAAGGGGAAAACACGGAUACUUAAGAAUAAACUAAAUCUUUGCUGUUGUCUAAAGUUCACACAAUGAUUAUUCUCUUUGAUGGGUGAAAUUGCCAGGGUGUGGGUAAGCUAUAGUCAGCUUGUAUUUACCUGCAAGAAGGGUGCUUGCUGUUGUAAAUCCUCUGGACAUGUCACUCACCUUUGGUCACAUUGAACUUAGGAACACAUGACGUUGACUUAUUGAGGUUUUCUGUUCUUCCUUUGGCAAAUCAAAGCAGUUUUCUACUAAAAUGUCUAGCUGGAAGUAUGCUAGGCCCUCCCUCUCAUGAAGCUCUUUCAAGUAUAAUUAACUCCAUUUUAUUGAUUUAGAAACUAAGGCUCAGCUGCCAUUGCUGCAUGCUGUAUAACACAAGGAAUCUGGGAAAGAGAGGGCAGUAAAAAAUCAUAGUAACCAGCAGCUUCGUGGGCAGACAGACACUCAAGCUCUCUGUAAUUAGAAGCUGGGGAGUUGUGACCUGGAAUUAGUCAGAUACAGCUGUAGGGAUAAAAUACAGAGGGGGCUACUGUGCAGCUAGCUUUCUUCAGUUGUCCUGGAUCUGUUUCAUCCAGUUGAUGCCAGUUGCCUCCAUCGUGCCACACUGUGGACCUCAGGUGCAGCGGAGGGGCCGUGUUGCACCACAGAUCCCUUGGCUCUCAAGACCCCUCCUGGGUCUGUUGACAAGAAAGUUGGUGAUAGCAUCACCAAGGCACUAGUAACUGAAAGAAAAGGUCUGAAGAUUAGGGUGAAACUGACCGUCCGGAACAGACAGACCCAGAUGCCUGAUCAUCAAAGCCCUGAAGGAGCCACCAAGAGACAAAGAAGCAAGAGAGCAUUAAACACAGUGGGAACGUUACUUUUGACAGAUUGUCCAUGUUGCCCAGCACAUGUGUACCAACCUUUAGCCUGAGAACAUCUGGAACUGUUGAGGUGGCCCUCAAUACUGCAGUGUAUCGGCCGCAGUGUGGAUGGCUGCCAUCCUAUGACAUCAUAGAUGAUGUCAGCAGUGACACAGGGUAUGUUCAGCUUAUUAAGAAGCAGCUAGCAAAAAUAUUAUAGGACUAAAUUUAAAAAACAAACAGCUGGUGGGUCCGUAUGAUGGCACUCAGCGUUUGGGCUAUGGAAGGGAAGCGUCUCAGAUAUGAAAUGAGCCGGAGCACCAUUGAGAAGGCAAGGGUGGCAUGGUACUUGUUAAGAAAUACUCUGGUAGCCUCUUUAGGUGGCAAGGAAAGUAGCUCAUGGGAAAACAAACAAAAAGACAGUAUGUACUCAAAGUCUCAGAGAAUAGAAAAAUCUCAAAAGGAUAGGUCUGAGGAAAAGGACCUGGGGUUAGCCCCUGUCCCAGCCCAUCUGUGCUGCUUAGCUUCGGUCAGCUUGAUACAAAACUAAAGACAUCUGGGGAGAGGAAGCCUCAGUUAAGAAAUUGCCCUGGGGGCAUGUGUGUAGGGCAUUUUCUUGAUUACUAAUUGGUGUGGGAGGUCCCGGCCCACUGUAGACAGUGCCUUCCCUAGGCAGGUAGGCCUGAACCACCUUACAUACGAGGAAGUUGGAUGGGAAGGAAGCUGGGUAAGCCAGUAAGCAGGCUUUCUGCAUGGAUCCUGCUUCCAGGUUCCUGCCUUGAGUCCCCUGACGAUGGACUGUAAUCUGUAAACCGGAGUGGGCCCUUUCCUCGCCAAGUUGCUUUUGGUAGGUGAUACAGCAGAAGAGCAGUGCAGCUCAGCAGUCUUGUUUAACUUGCUCUCUGGUUCACAGCCUUGGUUGUGGGAUGAAACAGAACUUGAUUAGGUUAUAACAUCUCUCAGAGGCAAGUAACGUGGUAAGUUUCUACAGCCAUUAUUUCUGUGAGUCCUGCCUUCUUAAGUUUUGUUUUUGUUUUUUGUUUUUUUGUUUUUUCAUUAGGGUAGGGGUGUAAUGACUUUUCGGAAUCAAAGCUAGGGUCUUUUACACAUUAAACUGACUUAUAUGCCAGUCCCUGUGUUUUCAACAGUAUAAUGUGUGAUUUUUUUUUCCUACUUUCUGAAUAGAAGUGGAUGGAAGUUGUAAACUGGUUUUAUGAAAAUUUUUAUCAUUAUUUGAUUAUAUGAAAGUUAAAAGAUUUUCUUUCCUGCAAAAAAUCACAAAUUAUUGGUAACUAGAUAGAUCAAUAUUUUCCAAUGCAUUAGAUUAUAUUUGCAGUGACCCAGAAUAUUUUGGUGCUUAAAAGAAGAGGUCCUAUUAUAUAGAUUUAUGAUCUCUUAAGGAAUUAUGACCCACAAUUUUUAACCCAGUAUUAUACCUAUGACUAUUCAAUAAAUAUGUUUCUAAGCCUUGAAGUCUAGGCUUGGUAGCCAUUGUUUGAAUUAGUAGCCAGUGUUUUCUACAUUUUUGCUUUGACCAGUGGGAAAGAUUUUCAUACAUACAGAUAUGGACGAGCAGAUUGUAUUUCUAUUUUAGGAAUACACACACAUGUAUAUGUAACAACAAUUAAAAAGUCAUGAAUUUCAAGGAGACCAAAGGCGGUAAUACAUGGGAGGUAUGGAAAGGAAUAGAAGAGGAAGGAAAAGUAGUUAUACUAUAAUCUCC